CCUACGGGAGGCAGCAGCAAGGAAUCUUCCGCAAUGGGCGAAAGCCUGACGGAGCAACGCCGCGUGCGGGAUGACGCCCUUCGGGGUGUAAACCGCUUUUCUUCAGGAAGAACGUGGGGCAACUCACUUGACGGUACUGGAGGAAGAAGGACCGGCUAACUACGUGCCAGCAGCCGCGGUAAUACGUAGGGUCCGAGCGUUGUCCGGAGUUACUGGGCGUAAAGCGCGCGCAGGCGGCGGUGUAAGCAUGGCGUGAAAGCCCCAGGCUCAACCUGGGAGGGUCGUCGUGGACUGCACCGCUUGAGGGCGGUAGGGGCUGGUGGAAUGCCUGGUGUAGUGGUGAAAUGCGUAGAGAUCAGGCGGAACACCCGUGGCGAAGGCGGCCAGCUGGGCCGUCCCUGACGCUGAGGCGCGAAGGCGUGGGGAGCGAACGGGAUUAGAUACCCGAGUAGUCC
rnacentral:rRNA from 1 species